AUUGAACGCUGGCGGCAUGCCUUACACAUGCAAGUCGAACGGUAACAGGUCUUCGGAUGCUGACGAGUGGCGAACGGGUGAGUAAUACAUCGGAACGUGCCCGAGAGUGGGGGAUAACGAGGCGAAAGCUUUGCUAAUACCGCAUACGAUCUCAGGAUGAAAGCAGGGGACCGCAAGGCCUUGCGCUCACGGAGCGGCCGAUGGCAGAUUAGGUAGGUGGUGGGAUAAAAGCUUACCAAGCCGACGAUCUGUAGCUGGUCUGAGAGGACGACCAGCCACACUGGGACUGAGACACGGCCCAGACGCCUACGGGAGGCAGCAGUGGGGAAUUUUGGACAAUGGGCGCAAGCCUGAUCCAGCCAUGCCGCGUGCAGGAUGAAGGCCUUCGGGUUGUAAACUGCUUUUGUACGGAACGAAAAGACUCUGGUUAAUACCUGGGGUCCAUGACGGUACCGUAAGAAUAAGCACCGGCUAACUACGUGCCAGCCGCCGCGGUAACAC
rnacentral:rRNA from 1 species